UGGCCUUGCCACCGUCUCUUUCAAACCUACACGAUGUAUUUCAUGUAUCCCAGCUGAGGAAGUAUGUUCAUGACCCUGGUCAUGUUGUGGAGCUGGAUGAUGUGCGGGUGAAGGAGAAUCUAACGUUUGAGAAGUGGCCGGUAGCUGUGGUGGAUCACAAGCUGAAAGAGUUGAGGGGCAAGUCCAUUGCUCCGGUGAAGGUGUUGUGGGAUGCAGCUACUGGUGAGGCUACUUGGGAGGUUGAGCAGUAGUGCAGGGAGCAGUAUCUUUUUCUUUUCUCAAGUAAGUCUGUUUGCGAGGACAAAAAUUCCUGUUGUUGGGGAGGUUGUGAGACCUGUCCCUCUCUUUUCUCUCUCAACUAUCACUCUUUCACUCUUACGCUCUUGGUCCCUUUUCUCUUCUGAUUUCUCAAAUCUUUCCUUGUGGUGACCUUGGGUUAAAGGUGUUGAUCAAGUUUAGGCAGAGCUAGUUGAGCCGUGCAGAGCUUUCUUUUUCUCAAGCUUCUUCUCCUUCUCCAUUGUCUUCUUCCCGGAGCUCGGAUUUCUUCACCGAGAGCAGGGUUAGGUUGGUGGUCUUGAGGCAAGUCUGUAGCUGGCAGAUGGAGUUAUUCUUUUGUUGUGUUUAACUACUUGGAGUAGCAUUGCUGGAUGUAUUUUAUAUACUCUGAUUUUUUUAAGCCCCAGAUUUAACCUUGUGUAUAUAUUUUAGCCGCUUAUAUAUAUAUGCAUGUUCUUGUC